GGUGGUGUAGUAAUGGUUUGAGCGUUGGACUAUAACUCUGGAGACCAGGGUUCGAAUCCUGGCUCAGCCA